rnacentral:rRNA from 1 species
AGAGAGAGACAUGCGCGCAUAUCAAUAAGCGGAGGAAAAGAAACUAACAAGGAUUCCCUUAGUAACGGCGAGUGAAGCGGGAAGAGCUCAAAUUUGAAAUCUUCAAGGUUUUACCUUGACGAAUUGUAGUUUAAAGAAGUGUUUUUCUGCUGAAGUUUUGGUAAAGUUCUUUGGAAUAGGACAUCAUAGAGGGUGAGAAUCCCGUAUUUGACCAUUAUUUUCAGCUUUGUGAUACACUUUCAAAGAGUCGGAUUGUUUGGGAAUGCAGUCCAAAAUGGGUGGUAAAUUUCAUCUAAAGCUAAAUAUUGGCGAGAGACCGAUAGCGAACAAGUACCGUGAGGGAAAGAUGAAAAGAACUUUGAAAAGAGAGUUAAACAGUACGUGAAAUUGUCAAAAGGGAAGCGUUUGACACCAGUGUUGUUUUCUCGAAAAUCAAUUAAAAAUGGCUCGAUUUUGUAUUGUUGAGACCUUAAAAGCUCACUGUACAUUUUUCGUGUCUUUUUUAAUGCACUUUUCGUUUAACGAGUCAACAUCAGUUUCUUUUGUUGUAAAAGGGUCAUUGGAAGGUGGCUUUCUUUUCGGAGAAAGUGUUUAUAGCCUUUGGCCUCUGCAAUCGGAAGAGACUGAGGUCUGCAGCGUAGACUCUUCGGGGUUAGAUACAUUUGUGCUAAGUUAUAGCUUUUUAUAGACAACUUGUUGACUAUAAUUAGUCUUGUAGCUUACUCGCUUAUGCUAUUUUACCUACGCUAGGAUGUUGAAGAUGUAGCACAUCAU